GCCGCGUGAAUGAUGAAGGCCUUCGGGUCGUAAAGUUCUGUCCUUAGGGAAGAACCAUCAUGGUAGGUAAUGACCAUGGUCUGACGGUACCUAAGGAGGAAGCUCUGGCUAACUACGUGCCAGCAGCCGCGGUAAUACGUAGAGAGCAAGCGUUGUCCGGAAUCACUGGGCGUAAAGGGUACGCAGGCGGAUAUACAAGUCAAAUGUGAAAUGUACCGGCUCAACCGGUAAGCUGCAUUUGAAACUGUAUAUCUUGAGUCUAGGAGAGGAGAGCGGAAUUCCUGGUGUAGCGGUGGAAUGCGUAGAUAUCAGGAAGAACAUCAGUGGCGAAGGCGGCUCUCUGGCCUA
rnacentral:rRNA from 1 species